rnacentral:piRNA from 1 species
UCCAGGUGAGCUAGAGCAUCAACAGGAU